UACAUAAAAACACCUCAUAUUUUACAUAAUCAGCCCGCAGUCCAUCACUAUCUCUUUCCUCCUGAGUCCGGGCGCUCCAAGCCGGUUCCGAGCGAGAUGGGGCCGCUAUGCAGACGACGCCGGGCGCGGCGGCGGCGAUCUCCGGCCAGAUCCGGUCAGGGAGGCGAGGCAGGGGCCAGAUCCUGUUCCUGGGAUGGCGUGGAGGCGAUCUACGAGGCACGGGAGGAGGACAGGCGGCGGGGCUUGAACUCCAGCAGGCCCCCUUUUGAUGGAUGGGGCCGCCCACAUCGCUAGCGACUCCUCGGAGGACGACAGGGCCUCCUCCUCCGCGUCCUCUACCGGUUCGGCCUCCUGGCGCUCCUGGCCGCACAAGUGGAUUCACCUGCGGGGGCGCCGGCGCCGGCGCCCGUUGUCCGCUCGGAGAGGAGAGGGCGGUGAAGCCAACGGCAAGGGCGACGGUGACGAUGUGCAGGACCUCGCGCUGCCGCUGGGGAGAUGUCCUUCGCGGCGGUUCUUGCCCGAUGCUCCACACUUUGCCGUAAUUCAAUCUGCCAGUUCUCCGCUUGAGGUUAUCAUAUGACAGAACGUCUGGGGUGAAAGCUAAGCUACUUCCAAUGGUCCCAAAUGAGAAGGCAAGAAGGUAUCAGCUGUAUGAGAAGACCCCCGCACAUGCCCAUUCCAUUCUCUAUGAAGUCAAAAGUUUCCCACUGAAUAUAUUUGGUACUAAAAUGGUCGUUAUGUCAGCACGACGAUCGUGUGCCUAUUGUUGGCUCUUAAUUCUUUAGGAUUAUUUGAUUUGUUUGAUUCAUUCUGUUCAUAUUUAUGCAGCAACAAAAUACAGUCAAGAUCAGGGUGUGUGAGGGUUAAACAUGUUAAUUUAUGUGGCAUCAAGCUAUGUAUGUUAAUAGCA